rnacentral:rRNA from 1 species
GACGAACGCUGGCGGCGUGCUUAACACAUGCAAGUCGAACGGAAAGGCCCUGCUUUUGUGGGGUGCUCGAGUGGCGAACGGGUGAGUAACACGUGAGUAACCUGCCCUUGACUUUGGGAUAACUUCAGGAAACUGGGGCUACUACCGGAUAGGAGCUCCUGCUGCAUGGUGGGGGUUGGAAAGUUUCGGCGGUUGGGGAUGGACUCGCGGCUUAUCAGCUUGUUGGUUGGGUAGUGGCUUACCAAGGCUGUGACGGGUCGCCGGCCUGAGAGGGUGACCGGCCACAAUGGGACUGAGAUACGGAGCAGACUCCUACGGGAGGCAGCAGUGGGGAAUAUUGCACAGUGAGCGGAAGCCUGAUGCAGCAACGCCGCGUGCGGGAUGACGGCCUGCGGGUUGUAAACCGCAUUCGCCUGUGACGAAGCGUGAGUGACGGUAAUGGGUAAAGAAGCACCGGCUAACUACGUG